GCCUUCUGGUUAGUACUAUGCUAAAACUGCAGAACUAGCACUGUUCUGGACUUUAUGAUAAUGUUGGUUGGUAGAGUAUACACAAAAAAUAGAGUAACUGCUGUAGACUGUGAAUAUUUGGGUGAACUUUUAAAAAAUAAAUCCAAUGUAUUUUGUCUUAAAAUUUUGUGCAGUAUGU